UACGUAUGGUGCAAGCGUUAUCCGGAUUUACUGGGUGUAAAGGGAGCGCAGGCGGAAGGUUAAGUCUGAUGUGAAAGCCCGGGGCUCAACCCCGGUACUGCAUUGGAAACUGGUCAUCUAGAGUGUCGGAGGGGUAAGUGGAAUUCCUAGUGUAGCGGUGAAAUGCGUAGAUAUUAGGAGGAACACCAGUGGCGAAGGCGGCUUACUGGACGAUAACUGACGCUGAGGCUCGAAAGCGUGGGGAGCAAACAGG
rnacentral:rRNA from 1 species